GAUGAACGCUGGCGGCGUGCCUAAUACAUGCAAGUCGAACGAGUGGCGAACGGGUGAGUAACACGUGGGAAACCUGCCCUUCAGCGGGGGAUAACCAUCGGAAACGAUGACUAAUACCGCAUACUGCAGGAUGGUCCCGCGGUGCAUUAGCUAGACGGUGGGGUAACGGCCUACCGUGGCUUUGAUGCAUAGCCGACCUGAGAGGGUGAUCGGCCACAUUGGGACUGGGACACGGCCCAGACUCCUACGGGAGGCAGCAGUGGGGAAUCUUCCGCAAUGGACGAAAGUCUGACGGAGCAACGCCGCUGGAGUGAUGACGGCCUUCGGGUUGUAAAGCUCUGUUAAUCGGGACGCGGUACCGGAAUAGAAAGCCACGGCUAACUACGUGCCAGCAGCCGCGGUAAUAC
rnacentral:rRNA from 1 species